CAUUUCUAAACAAUCAUAUCCAGUGUUGACUAAGCCAAGCCUUCCUCCACACUCACCAAGUGCUUUUGAACAGACCAAAACAUUUGAAAACCUCAGUUCUGAUGCACGAGUAUAUGAAUCAGCAAGUAUUAAUAGUCCCAGUGUUACAAUACAUGAGGAUAAUUCAGUUUCUUAUUCUUCUACUGCUGGAUCUGAUCGUCCUCUAUUACCUGAACGUGCUCCUAUGACCUCAUACCAAACUACAGCUGCAGAGGAAGGAAAGGUUAAUAAGCCUCAUGAAGUUAGAGCUGAUAGCGAACCUUUUGAAAUUGUACAUAUAUAAUGGGGACUGCACGGAAAGGUAGAAUCAUUCAAUAGAAAUUUGAGGCUCCAUCAUUUAGAUAUUAAAUUAUUUAUAUACAUAUAUAUUAAAUCACAGGUUAAACAAGCAGCAAUUAUAAUUUUGUAUGGACUGGAUCUGUAAAAUUAUAUUAUCAUUUUACUUUUGUGUGCUAAAUUUUUGUAUUUCCUUUUUUUUCAAAAAGUGACGUAUUAUUUCAGACGUCAAUCAGAA